ensembl:snRNA
GUGUUACAUGAAAGGAGAGAAGGUUAGCAUUCCCCCUAACAAGGAUGGAAGAGGUCCUCGGGCCUGGCAACAUGCAUAUGGUUAAGUCACUACUACCUACUUUGUAGCAUCUAACCACUGGUUUUU